rnacentral:misc_RNA from 1 species
GUCUAUUGUCAGACCCUGUUUGGUUGGUAUUAGUUUGUAGAAUAACUGGAUGUCAAAAUGGAAAAAAUGAUUUUUCAAACAAGAUCAGUUAUUUGCUAAACACCAUACAACCAUAAAUUACAAAGAGCCGUCUUCAUGAUUCAGCUUUUGUGUAUUGAUGUUGAGGUCUAAUUUGUUUACAGUUUUGACAAAAAUGUUGUACAUUGUACUAAAAAACUGACCACUCAUCUCCAUCGUCAUGUUAAAUGCAUAUCUAUAUACCGUGUGAUUUUUUACAUGACAUAAAAUCUAAAUCAUUGUGUAUCUUGUCUUUUUAAAUGUUCUUUUCUUUUUAUAAUGUUAUGCUUUAUGUCUGUAACAAGGUUCUUUCUCGCACUCCUUGAAUAUUCAUCCAGCAGAAAUCACCAAACACAUUUGUUUUCACUUGCUCCCAACAUAAUAUCAUUGAAAAAUGUAAAAGUAAAUGUCAUGCAUAUUAAUGAAACAGAUUUUUUUUUUUUAAAUGAUUUUAAUUAUCUAUAAGAGAUUAUGAAUUGUAAAAAGAAUUUAAUAUACCCAUGUACAUGUAUUAAAAUAGUUUCAAACUGUGUUUGUUCACUGUUUAAAAUACUGCUCUCUUUUAAAGUAAUAAAUUGUGUAAAA